GACGAACGCUGGCGGCGUGCCUAAUACAUGCAAGUCGAACGGUUUAGUUCCAAGAGGCUUGCCUUUUGGAACUAGACAGUGGCGGACGGGUGAGUAACACGUAGGCAACCUACCUGUCAAACCGGGAUAACCUCGGGAAACCGAAGCUAAACCCGGAUAAGCUCCUUUUUCGCAUGAAGGGGGAGUGAAAAGGUGCGACCUGAGGACAGAUGGGCCUGCGGCGCAUUAGCUAGUAGGUAGGGGAACGGCCUACCUAGGCGAUGAUGCGUAGCCGACCGGAGGGGGCGCACGGCCACACUGGGACUGCGAUACGGCCCAGACUCCUACGGGAGGGAGCAGUAGGGAAUCUUCGGCACUGGGCGAAAGCCUGACCGAGCAACGCCGCGUGAGUGAGGAAGGCCUUCGGGUUGUAAAACUCUGUUGUUUGGGAAGAAGGGAAAGGGUAGGACCCUUUGGUGACGGUACCAAACGAGAAAGCCCCGGCUAACUACGUG
rnacentral:rRNA from 1 species